rnacentral:miRNA from 1 species
UUUGUUUUGUUUUUAUGUGUGUGUACAUGUUCAUGUGUGCAGGUAUACAUACAUAUACACACAUAUGGAGAACAGAGGGCAAA